rnacentral:lncRNA from 1 species
AUUGAUCUUAGCAUGAACAGUUUCUCUGGAUCUAUCCCUCCUCAAUUCAGAAACAUCUCCAAGCUAAUCUACUUUAACCUCUCCACAAACUACUUAACCGGAUCGAUUCCAUUUGAGAUCGGUCUCUUAACCUCAGUUCAAGAUAUCGACUUGUCUAACAAUUCCCUAUCUGGACCAAUACCCUCUUCCAUUGGAAAUCUAAACAACUUGGUAAAACUGCACCUCUUUUCCAAUUCUUUCUCGGGUCCACUUCCUUCUGAGAUUGGAAACUUACCCAACCUUGUUGUUCUAGGUCUUAGUAGAAACAACCUGUCUAAGUCAAUACCCUCUUCCAUUGGAAAUCUCACCAAUUUGGUAAAGGUUUAUCUUCAUACCAAUUCUUUCUCGGGUCCACUUCCUUUUGAGAUUGGAAACUUACCCAACCUUGUUAAGCUAGAUCUUAGUACAAACAACCUGACUGGACCAAUACCCUCCUCCAUUGGAAAUCUAACCAACUUGGUAAAACUGCACCUCUUUUCCAAUUCUUUCUCGGGUACACUUCCUUACGAGAUUGGAAACUUACCCAAACUUGUUGAGAUAGGUCUUUACAGAAACAACCUGUCUGGACCAAUACCCUCUUCCAUUGGAAAUCUAACCAACUUAGUAAAAUUGUACCUCUAUACCAAUUCAUUCUCGGGUUCAAUUCCUUCUUCCUUAGGAAACCUGAAGAACUUAACAGGUCUUUAUCUUGAUAUGAAUUAUCUAAGUGGUUUCAUUCCCGUGGAACUAGGAAACAUGGAAUCCAUGAUUCAGUUGGCGAUAAGUCAGAACAAUCUUAUAGGUUAUGUUCCUAAUUCCUUUGGAAACUUUACCAACCUGGAAUUGUUGUGCCUUAGUGAUAACCACCUCUCUGGUCUUAUUCCACUAGGAGUAUCAAACUCUUCAAAGUUGACUAUCUUGCAACUCGGUAGAAACAACUUCACUGGUUUCUUGCCUGGAAACAUUUGUGAAGGUGGGAAGCUUCAAUAUCUCUCAUUAGAUGAUAAUCACCUCGAAGGUCCUAUACCAAAAAGUUUGAAAAAUUGUCAGAGCUUGAUUAGAGCAAGAUUCAUAGGGAACAUAUUCAUUGGAGAUAUUUCUGAAGCUUUUGGUGUUUACCCACAUCUUGAUUUCAUUGAUCUUAGUCACAACAAAUUCCAUGGUGAGAUUUCAGGCAACUGGGAGAAGAGUCGAAAACUAGGUGCCUUGAUCAUGUCAAACAACAACAUCACAGGUGUUAUCCCACCAGAGACUUGGAACAUGACACAACUAGUUGAGUUGGAUCUGUCUACCAACAACCUAAUUGGUGAGCUUCCAGAAUCAAUUGGAAAACUCACAGGUUUGUCAAAGCUACUACUUAAUGGGAAUCAGCUAUCUGGAAGAGUUCCCGCAAGGUUGAGUGUCUUAACCAUGCUUGAGUAUCUGGACUUAUCUUCAAACAAUUUUAGUCAGAUCCCACAAACCUUUGAUUCAUUUUUAAAGCUUCAUGACAUGAACCUGAGCAGGAACAUGUUCAACGGAUGCAUUCCCCGACUAACAAAACUUACUCAGUUAAAUCAUCUUGAUCUCAGCUACAACCAGCUAGAUGGAGAAAUCCCAUCACAACUCAGCUCCUUACAGAGCCUUAACAAGCUCGACCUGUCACACAACAAUCUUUCCGGUAUCAUUCCCACAAGUUUUCAGGGCAUGAAAGGGCUGACAUAUAUCGAUAUAUCAAACAAUAAACUCGAGGGUCUGCUACCAGAAAAUCCCGCGUUUGAAAACGCAACAGCAGAUUCACUGGAGGGAAACAUAGGCUUAUGCAGUAAUAUUCCUAGACAAAGGUUGAAAUCAUGCCCUAUCACUUCCCCCGGGUUCAAGAAAAAGAAGAAUGGCAACCUUAUUGUUUGGAUACUAGUGUCGAUCCUAGGGGCACUCGUCAUUCUCUCUAUAUGUGCAGGUAUAUUUACCUACUACCUUCGAAAACGAAAAAAACACAUUGGAAAUAACAACUCAUAUGCUGAUAGUGGACAGACUCUGUCCAUCUUUUGCUACGAUGGCAAAGUCAAAUACCAAGAUAUCAUCCAAUCCACAAAUGAAUUUGAUCCAAAAUACGUGAUCGGAAUCGGAGGAUACGGCAAAGUCUACAAAGCAAACCUCCCAGGCGCAACCGUAGCAGUGAAAAAGCUACACCAAACAAUGAACGAAGAGAUAUCAAAGCCAGUGGUGAAGUAAGAGUUCCUAAACGAAGUAAGAGCGUUAACAGAGAUCCGUCACCGCAACGUCGUGAAGCUCUUCGGCUUCUGCUCCCACCGCCGCCACACAUUUCUGAUCUACGAGUACAUGGAAAAAGGAAGUUUAAACAAACUGUUAGCUGACGACAAAGAAGCUAAGCAACUCAACUGGACCAAAAGGAUAAGCAUCAUCAAAGGUGUUGCAAACGCGUUAUCGUAUAUGCACCAUGACCGAACUACUCCAAUCGUCCACCGUGAUAUUAGUAGCGGCAAUAUCCUUCUCGAUAACGAUUACAAAGCUAAGAUCUCCGAUUUCGGUACAGCGAAGCUUCUCAAGAUGGAUUCCUCAAAUUGGUCCGCCGUCGCCGGAACCUACGGCUACGUCGCUCCAGGUAAAUCUAAAUCAACGAUAAUUGAAAAUUGAAAUUGAGCUCAUGAAACUGAAAAUUCUCAACAGAAUUGGCUUACGCGAUGAAGGUGACGGAGAAAUGCGAUGUGUAUAGCUUUGGAGUAUUGACGCUGGAAGUGAUAAAAGGGAAACAUCCGGGAGAUUUGGUUUCGGCUUUGUCAUCUUCGUCUCCGGGAGAAACUCCGUCGUUGAGAAGCAUUUCCGAUGAGCGUUUAGGAGAACCAGAGGCGGAGAUUAGAGAGAAGCUUGUGAAGAUGAUGGAAGUGGCGUUGUCGUGCUUACAAGCAGAUCCAAUGUCUCGGGCAACAAUGUUGUCAAUAUCCACAGCGUUCACUUAAAAAAUUAUAAUAUAAUGGUUUUACAAUUUAAAUAAAACACAAAUAAUUAUUUGUUUAGGAAGUAGUACGUAAGUUUGUUAAACACAUGAUAAAUGAAAAUUAACUUUUUUCUCUUCUCAUGAUGCCAUUAACUAUUCACCUAAACAAUAUUUUUCUUUUUACACAAAAGUAAAUUUAAAAUAUGUAUUUAAUUUAUAUUUAUGUUACUUAUAAUUAAUAAAAAAUUUAUAUAAAUAAAAUGAAUUAUAUAAAAUAAUUGAAAUAUUCAAAUAAUAAAAACAAUAUUGUAAUGUUUUAUUAGUGGUAGUAAUAUAAUUCAACUUUUAUUUUAAACUAAUUAUAGUUUAUAAAUAGUUUAAAAGUUUAAAUAUGUUACUGGAUUUUAGAAUGGAAGUAAAUUUUAAUUUCAUCGUAGAAUAAAACAACCUUUAUGUAAUUGUAUAUAUAAAAUUUUAAACAUGAAAAAUAAAACUAAAAGUAAAAUAUUAGUUUAUAAGAUGAUCAGAAAGAGAAAAAAAUGAUAUUUUAUAGAUUGAAUCAAAUACUUUUAAUCCAAAUUUGAGUAUUAAAAGAUAGUAAUUAAAGAGAAAAUAGUUAUAAUUUGACUAUCUUCAAAAUAUAAAAAAGAAUUAUAAACUAAGCCCGGAUCAAUAACUAGUUAUGGUAUAAAUAAAUAUUAUUAUAAUUAUGUUAUUUUAGACAAACGUUUGACUUUUGGUAACUAAAUUAUAAUUAUGGCUGCGUAAUGUGAAUAAACUAAAUCCUGUAGUUGUUUGUUUUGGCUGAAUAAUAUUUUGUUCAAAAUUAUGUUAUAAAUAAAUAUUACUAUAUAUAGUUUAUAACAUGUAGUCCUCUCUUAAUAAUUUUUAAUAUCAAUUUAAAUAUUUUUUGGUGUUCGAAAAGACAGUUGAAAGAUGGAAGUAUGUGUAAUGUGUUCAUCAAUGCAAUUUGGUUUUGUAUUCGACAGUUUUAAUUGUUUUCGAGAAAUAGACCUUUUUAUAGAGGCCCUGUUCGGGGCAUAAUCGCAGCCGCAGCGAUUGAUGAUUAAUAAACAACCCUCAUCUCUCCUUCAUUUCUUUCUCUUUUCUUCUUCACUUCCAGUCGUGCGAUUCUUUUGUGACGAUUCCGAAGUCGCCGUAAUCAUGGGCGACACAAACUCAUGAUUAAUUGUCUACUUGCGACUGUAAUUUGUUAAAAAGCCAUGGACGAGCUUUUACAGAGCUUUACAGAGAAGAAAUAGAUCUAAUUCAAUAAUUCAAUUUCUAGUUAUUAUUUUAAUUUACAUUUUUACCUUUUUUUAAUUAUAAAUAAUAAUAAUAUAUAUCUUAUUUUCAAAAGGGUCGCACCUAUGAGUCGCACGAUCCCCUAAAGAACAGGGCCUCUGUUUUAUGUAUCACUGCACAAUGAACGUUAACUACCAAAUUGAGAUUAUUGACUUGACUUUACUUUCAAAGCACAGAAUGUUCCAACGUAUAUAACCCCUAAGAAUGUGCCAAAAUAAGAAUGGCUCGGUUAAGCCGAAGCCUACAUGCUUAAUUCAGACUUUAACUUGUUGUUAUUUUCUAAGUUUUCAUAUUUUCAUUAUUAACCAUCAAAUUACUUCCUACAAUAUAUAUCCAUUUAGAUUUUUUUUUUUUUGAGAAAUACUUACUAAUGCCCUGAUUUUUUUGGCCAUUUUCAUUUAUACCCUCUCUUAAUUUUAAUAUUCAUUUUACCCCUAGUUGAAAAUUAAUUAAGUCAACAAAAUGAAAAAUUGAAUUAUUUCCGCUAAAAAUUUUCUGGCCAAAUUUUUUUCACGGAAACACUGUUUUCAGAAUCAAAAAAUAGAAGGUUUUUAAAAGGAUUUUUAAAGGAUUUACAAAGAUUUUAAAGGAGUUACAAAGGUUUUUGAAUGGUUUUAAAAAUUUACAAGGGUCUUUAAAUAGUAUUAAAAAGAUUUACAAGGGUCUUUAAAUAAUUUUAAGAGUUUAUAAGGGUUUUUAAAGGUUUUAAAGGAUUUACAAUGAUUUUAUAAGGGGUUUAGAAGUUUAUAAGGGUUUUUAAAGAUUCUAAAAGGGUUUUUAAAUGGUUUUAAAGGAUUUACAAUGGUUUUAUAUGGGUUUUGAAGUUUAUAAGGGUUUUCAAAGAGUCUACAAGGGUUUUUAAAGGUUUUUAAAGGGUUUUUUAAAAAUUUACAAGGACUUUUAAAUGGUUCUAAAAAUAUUUACUAGGGUUUUUAAAUGGUUUUUAAAUUGAUUUACAAAGUUUAAAUAGUUUUUGAAGUUUAUAGAGAAUUUCUUAGAUAUACCCCUCUUGGGGUAUCUCCUUUUAAAAAUACCCCUAUAAGGGAAGCAUUUUUAAAACUACCCUCUUAAAGACUUUUAAGACAAUUUUACCCUCCUAAAUGACCUAAACACAGUUUCUCCUUUCUCUUCUCCUUUCUCUUCUCCUUUCUUCGCCGUUUUGUUUUGGAUCUUCACCGUCGUCUCUCGCCGUCGUCGUCCCUCGCCGUCGUCUUCUCUCGCCGUUGUCUUCUCUCGCCGUCGUCUCUUCUCGGCAUCGGCGUCGUCUCUUCUCGGCGUCGCCGUCGUCUUCUCUCGCCGUCGUCUUCUCUCGCCGUCGUCUUCUCUCGCCGUUGUCUUCUCUCGCCGUCGUCUCUUCUCGGCAUCGGCGUCGCCGUCGUCUCUUCUCUCCAUCGACGUCGUCUCUUCUCGGCGUCGCCUUCGUCUCUUCUCUUUAUCGCCUUCGUUUCUUAAUUACAUAUUUCCUGGUUCGUUUCCCAGAUCUGUUCACUACUUGAUUAGAUCUCAUCACUUUUUCAACCAAUAUUGUUCUUCUUCCAUGUACUUGUUAUCUGUUGUUGAAUUUUGAAGGAUUUUUUUUCAUUGUUGUUUCUAUUCUUAUACCUUUUAAAAUCCAUUUAAAAUCCUUAUAAUUCAUUUACUGACCACGUUUUCAUUGUGAUAUUUCUUUGUUUUCGCAGGACUUAGUUUAGAGAUGCUUGAACUGUAUUCAGUUUGUGGAUUAUGGAAGUUGAAGCAUAAUAUUAAAUGGGAAUUUGAAAUUGAUGAUGAGAGGGGAGUUUCUCUAAUUAGUAUUGAUGAGGGAACUAGUUUUACUGAUUUGGUCAAAAUUCUAUACGAAGAUUUUGCAAUUGAUAAUCAGAAACACUCUUUAAAGCUUAGUUUCCAGUUGCCUUCUAUGACUGCAACACUAGGUAGUCAUCCGAUUUUUAUUAGAAAUGAUAGGCAACUGGCAACUUUUAUGAGAAUUUCUGCACAAACACAAAGUAUUCAUUUAUGUGUUACUGUAGAGGAUAACUGUGUCAUAGUUGAGCAGGUAUAUUUUAUUGAUCUCUUUCUUAAUUUUGCUUAUAAAUCAUUACAAUCUUUAGUGACUGUAGUAAACUAUUUCUGCCUGUUUACUUUUCAGGAUCAAACUAGCUCAUAUCAGUUUGUUGCAAGCGAUGUAUCUUCUGCUUCUCAUUCUCAGGUAAACCUCUUUUAAAAUUACUGUUUAAAACUUUUGAAAACCUUAUAAAAAUCAUUUAAAACCCUUUUAAAACAUUAUAAACAAGACAAGUUGUUUGAAAACUCAUCUAUUAUUCGGAUACUGAAUUUGUACUUUCAGGUUCCGACAAUGCCUAAUCAUCCUGCUGCUACUUCUGGUCUUUUUACUUCCACUGAGGUAUCUAGAACGUCUACAAUCAUUAAUCAGCAGCCAGUUAUAUGUAACCAAACAACUUCUUUUGGGGCUAUUGAUGUUUCUUGUCCAAAUCGUACUCAGGUAAUCUACUACUUUAUAAAAACCCUUUAAAAAAAAUAUUGUUUCAAAUCAUUAUUAACUUAUUACGUCUUUAUUUUUCAGGAUCAAACUAGCUCAUAUCAGUUUGUUGCAAGCGAUGUAUCUUGUAAAAUACAUUUUAAAAGGGUUUUUUUUCUUUUUCUGUGAGAAGCCUUAUAUAAACAUUUUAAAACCCUUAUAAAAACCUUUGUAUUUCAAAUUCGUUUAAAACCCUUGUAAAGCUUUAUUAAUGAAAUCAAAAUUGUUUUACAAACCUUUUGUAAGAACCCUUGUAUUUAAAACAAGGUUAUAAACCGCGUAACUCGCAAUUAUAGUUUUAGUAUUGAAAUAGCACGAGUAUGAUUGAAGUGUUAUAUUGUAUUUUUCUUGGAAAUCCACUGAGAACAUUUUGUAAUGGUUUUAAAAGAUGAUUGAAGUGUUAUAAUAUUCUCAACAAAGAUAAAAGUAUUCAAAAGAUAAUUUUUUCAACAAGUGUUUUCAAAUCGACAUAGUUUCCAAAAGUAAAAUAAAAUAUAUCCUAGUUCUCCAUACUCCUUAGCAGUCAUCCAUAGUCCUACGCAAGGUAAUGUGAAUAACGUUAGGAAACUGUUUUAAACUGUUGUAAAUCCUACAAUAUUAAAAAAAAAAAAAUACUCAUACUAACCUAUGAAUUUCCUAAUUCAGCAAAUAUGUCAACCGCAAGUUUCUCUCGGAUAUCUGCAAUGCUGUGUUCAUGGAACUCGUCAUUAGUCCUUUUAGACAUUGCAUAGCUUUCCAUUAUCUUUACCAUGUACACACCACUAUCUUCAAUCUUCUUAAGCUAAAAACAAAAAACAAACUGAAAAGUCAACAGUAUUUACAUAUAAUAUAACAUCAAAACCAAGACAUUCUCAAAAAAUAUAAAAAAAAACUUAUCAAAGCUUCUAAAAACCAUAUAAAACCUUAUAAAACUAUAUAAAAACCUUAUUAAAACCUAAUAAACUCUUGAUAAACCUUAUAAAAACUCUUUAAAACCUUCUAAAUACCUUAUCUAACCUCGCAAGCCUUUUACUAAUUACAAAUAUUACCUGUGUAAAGCAGGAUUUGUGAAUGACACGGAAAGAAGAGGAAUUAAAAGGAGAGUCAUCAGUCCUCUCUACCAUUGGAAACUUCUUCUAUGCAAUAUAUGGCAUUGAUCUAGCAUACGCUUCGACCUGUUUUUGUUUCUUUUUAUCACUGAAAAAUGAUGAUCCAUUGUCCCAGAUAUGGAUUGAUCGUGAGGCCAAAUUAAUCUCAAGUGGUAUCCACAACCGUUGCUCGACACACAUUGGUGCAAAUAUGACUUUUGUGCGUUUCUCCUUAAACACCUUACUGAAGCAUUCAUCAUCAAAGUCGAAGCCAUCUUUGUCGUCUAGGAAUAUAUCGUAGGAAUCAUCAAUGGCCUCAAUGAAUUUUGAAUCCACUAAUGUCACAUCUUUGNNNNNNNNNNNNNNNNNNNNNNNNNNNNNNNNNNNNNNNNNNNNNNNNNNNNNNNNNNNNNNNNNNNNNNNNNNNNNNNNNNNNNNNNNNNNNNNNNNNNCAAUAUGCUAAACUCAACAAAAACAAAAUCAAAGUCAGAUCAACAACAUUAGAGAAAGGGCUAAAAUUAUUGUUAGUUUUUAUAAGGCUUUUAUACGGUUUUUAUAAAGUUAGGUUCUCACAAAUUUACAUAUAAGUCUUUUAAACGGUUUUUAUAAUGUUCUCAAAAAAGUAAACUGAAAAGUCAAUUCUAAAACUUAUAAAAGCCUUAUAAAAAACUUAUAAAACAAAUUAAAACUACUGUUAGAAAACUUACAGCUGCUUUUAUUGAUUUUCCUGGCGUCUCAAGUGUUGUGAACCACUUGGCAUCAACUUUGUUACCUAGAAUUGUUAGAGGCCUAAAAACGAACACAACAUAUUUACAGCUUUUAAAACACUUAUAAACAACUAAACGGAAUUCCAUUUCUUAUUUUGUCAAAUAAAACUGAAACUUACUUUGUUUUCCUUGAACUCUUCCAUUUAGCCAAUAGUUCUACCCGUGGUGUAUCAAUUUUUUCAAAGGGAUGAACAAUUGGGUGCCUUUUCUUCUCAGCCGUGUAAGGCCACUGAGUGUGAAUUGAUGGAGCAUGGUUUCGUUCACUUUUCCUUUUUACUUCACCAACAUUAUCAGCUUUAUUCUUCUUUCUUCGUGGCUGAACAAAAUAAAGUAAAAAUCCAGCAUUUUAUCGAUUUUCAAUUGUAAUAACUAUUGUAAUAUUUUUAAUUGCAAACUAACCAUAGCUUUUGUUGUAUCAUCAACAUCUUGAUUGUCACUUGUUUUACGCUUCUUUUGCUGCAAUGAACCAAACGAACACAUUUUGUAAACCAUUUAAUCCAAGUAUGGAACAUUUUUUAUAAAACCUGAUAAACUCUUGAUAAAAACCAUAUAAAAACCUGAUAAACUCUUGGUAAACAUUAUAAAAUCUCCUUUAGGCCUUAUAAAAACCUUAUAUUCACAGUUUAAUAAGCAUAUAAAGACCUUAUAAAAUAUUUAAAAAUCUGAUACUAACCUCUUUUCUUUCAGAAACAUUUUCUUCAGCAUUGUCUCAUUCUUUACACUUUUUCUGUAGAUCAAAACAAAUUAAUCAUGCUUAGUGUAACUUCUUUAAAAAUCAUUAAUCUCAUAACAUCCUUAUAAAGAAUAGAACACUAACCUGCUUUUUCUCUCUAACAACUUUCUUUUUACUGCUUCCUGCUUUCUGUUGACUGUUUUUCUUAUCCUUUCCGCUACCUUGACUUUCUUGAGAAAAGAGAUUGAACUUUGGUGUAGAAUGACUUGGAGUAUUGGAUUUAUCCUUCAAACAUAAUCACUCUAAAAUUUUACAAAAAGGCUUUUAAAAGGAAUUUAGUAUACUUAUAAAAAACUAUAUCAUCAUACCCUUGGUGUUCCUUCUUCUGCAUUAUCAUAAUUGCCACUCUUUUCAGUAUUUUCAUCGUCGCCGUCAUAACUUCCAUCUUGGGUGUUUGCUUGACGAAAUGAAUCUUCAAAAGUGCUAUUCACAUUUUCAUCAAAAACCCUAUCUUCUUUCCCAGUAUCUUCAUGAGGAUUACUUUGUCCAGCGUGCUACACAAAAAUAAAGAACCAGGCAAAGUAUCCCAAAUUUUCAAAAACCCUAUUAAAAAUUAUAUAAAACCCUUAUAAGCCUUUUAAAAACCAUAUAAAACCUUUAAAAAAUAUAUACUAACCUCUUCACUUUUAUCUUUGUCUCCUUCAAGCUCGGACUGCGAUAAGAAAAGUAAGAAAUUAUCAUAGGAAACAACCCAAACUUUUUAUUAAUUAAAAUUUACAAAUAUUUUACCUCGUUAUAUGUCCCCACGUUGUUUCUGACUUUUAGAACCACUUCAAGUAUUUCUAAUCUUCUGUUGAAGUCCGCAACUAGUUUAAGGAUCUUGUCCAGUUUGGCAGAAUCUGACAAUUGCUGCCCCAACUCUGCCUCCGCAGAAAUGUAUUCAACAAUUUUGUUCCUCCAAUCAAUCUCCUUUAAUCUGUAGCCUCUCAUCACCAAGUGUACGAUAUCUUCAAACUCUUUGUCGUCUACAUGAGUUUCUUCUACUAGGUGUUUGUAUUCCUCUGGAUCUCCAAUAAUAGAUUUGACCUCAAUCUAGAAAAAUAAAUAACAAAGGUUUUAAAAGCUUUUUAAAAUGGAUAUACAAUGAUUGUAAAUCCUUAUAAAACCCUUAUAAAAUCCUUAUAAAAUCCUUAUAAAACCCUUAUAAAAUCCUUACAAUGGUUGUAAACGCUUAUAAAAUCCUUAUAAAUCCCUUAUAAAACCCUAAAUAACUCUAUGAUACUUUUAAAAACCAUAUAAAACCUUAUACAAUUAAUGCUCAUCACCAAAUAAAAAGUGUUAUAAAAGGAAUGAAAACUUACACAAUCCGAUGAUUGAAUGGCAUCCACGAUUUGAUCUAAUCUUGGAGUUAACGAAGAUUCCCAGUUAGAGUAUAGAGGAUAAACACACUUUGACGUGUCGUUGCAUACAGCAAACGACGCUCCAAAAAGUGGUACAGCGCUGAAUGACCAGAUCAAUAAAGCCAAAGGAAAACCUUUGACUUCAUAUUGGCCUCUUGCCCAUGUAUUGGUAUCCAUCCUCUUGAUACUUGUAGACAAGACGUUGUAGGCUUCUUUUCCCCAUGCCAAAGAUGUAUACGCCUCAAAAUCGGAUGCAUGGUGAAGUCUUGAACUUGGGAUUUUCUCUAAUGAAUGAGGCGUCAUCAAGAAUGCUUCUGUAAGGAUGACAGCUGCAAGGCAAAGCUUUUCAUCCUCUUCCAUCGGCGCCUCUGUUUCCUCUGUUUUCUCCAAAUCAGUUAUAUCCUUUGGUUCAGAAAACAAGUAAUUCUCCAAAUUACUCAAGGUCAAAUCUUUUCGCGACGUCCAACUGUAGGGUUUCUUAGCAGGUUUUUUCCCCUUCCUACUUUGAUCUGUAUCAAGCUUUUCACAAUGAAUACCUGUGAUUUAUUAAACAAUGAGGUUAGUAUUUUCAAUCUACUCAUAAAUUUCGUAUAUUUCACAUUCAAAUGAUAUGUACAUACCUUAUUAAAACCUUAUAAAACCUUAUAAAAACCUUAUAAACAAGUUUUCAAAUAAUGUUUAUUUGACAUUCAAAUGAUAUGUACAUACCUUAUAAAAACCUUAUAAAAACCUUAUAAAAACCUUAUAAAAACCUUAUAAGAACCUUAUAAAAACCUUAUAAAAACUUUAUAAACAAGUUUUCAAAUAAUUUGUUUAUUUCACAUUCAAAUGAUAUGUACAUACCUUAUAAAAACCUUAUAAAAAUCUUAUAUAAACCUUAUAAGAACCUUAUAAAACCUUAUAAAAACCUUAUAAAAUACUUAUAAACAAGUUUUCAAAGAAUUCGUUUAUUUUCACAUUCAAAUGAUAUGUAUAUACCUUAUAAAAACCUUAUAAAAACCUUAUAAAAACUUUUUAUAACUGGCAGAAAUUAAACAAAGAUGUAAAAUAUAUAUGGAAUACCUGUUGAGAGAAAAAAAUUCUCUCAUUGAGAAACGUGUUGGUUGUGAAGCGAUUCUGAACCACAAGUUGUUUCCUUUAGUCUUCAGCCUCCUCAUCAUAAUGUAGUGANNNNNNNNNNNNNNNNNNNNNNNNNNNNNNNNNNNNNNNNNNNNNNNNNNNNNNNNNNNNNNNNNNNNNNNNNNNNNNNNNNNNNNNNNNNNNNNNNNNNUGAUGAUGUGUCCGAGGAAAGAAUCCUCAAGCUGCUUGAACGAUUCAUCGCUCAAAACAGCUUUAACUUUCCAAAUUAGUUUAAAAUCCGUAUGUUGUAUUAUUGAUGCUUGAGAGAAUGGUUCACUUCCAUCUUCAUAUAUACCGUUAGGUAAUAGAAGAUAAUCAACCGGUUCACUACUCUCCAUCUGUUUAUUAACAUCAAAAACCAAAAUAUUUUAACCUAAAUGUUUAAAAACCUUUUAAAAUGCUUAUGAGACUACAACUUUUGAUGCACAAACCAUUUUUUUACAAAGUUUUUAUGAUUUUCAUUUUCUAUAAGGUUUUCAAAAUUGAUUAAAGCCAUCCCUGAACAAUUGUAGUAAAUAUAUGUUUAAUCUCAAUCGAUCUCCAAUUAAUCUCAAUCGAUCUCCAACAAUUAAUCUCAAUCGAUCUCCAACAGUUAAUCUCAAUCGAUCUCCAACAAUUAAUCUCAAUCGAUUUCCAACAAUUAAUCUCAAUCGAUCUCCAACAAUUAAUUUCAAUCGAUCUCCAACAAUUAAUCUCAAUCGAUCUAAAAAAGAACCCUAAAUUGGCAAACCCUAAACAAUUAACAAGUAAGAGAUAACAUAGGGCACUUACACGGCCAAGAGAGAGAAGACACGGCGAGGCGAUUUUGUGUGACGACGAGGAGUCCUCAACCGAUGACGACGCCGAUGAGGAGUGUGAGACAGAGAGGAGAGGAGUCCUCGAGAAACCAGAAUCGAGAGAGAGAGAGAGGAGUCUGAGGCGGACAGAGACAAGAUUCUCGCCGGAGACAGAGAGGAGAUGGAAUCGGAGUUGUGAUAGAGAGGAGAAGCAGGAUUCUCGCCGGAGUCCAGCCGUCGAGAAAGAGAUCGUUUUCGUGAGAGAGAGAAUUGUGAACCAAAGAUUUUUUAGGUUUAACAUAAACCAGGGCAAAAUCGUCUUUUGGCAUUAAAACAGGGGUAGUUUUAAAAAUGCUCCCCUUAUAGGGGUAUUUUUAAAAGGGAAUACCCAAAAGGGGUAUUUUUAGAAUUGUCCCAAGUUUAUAAGGAUGUUUAAAGGGUUUACAAGGGUUUUUAAAAAUUUACAACGAUUUUUAAAAGAACUUUAUAAGCGAUUUACAAGUGUUAAUAAAAGUUUUAAAAAGAUUUACCACGGUUAUAAGAGUUUUUAAAGGGAUUUACAAGUGUUUAUAAAAGUUAUAAAAGUCUUUACAAAUGUUUUAAAAGGUUUACUAGAGUUUUUAAAAGUUUUAGAUGACUUUUUAAAAGAUUUACAAGGGAUUUUAAGGAUAUUCAAAGGUUUUAAAAAUCAUUACAAAGUUUUUAAAAUAUUUUUUAAGGUAUUGCGGAAAAUUUUGGCGGGAAAUGUUUUGUCGGAAAUUUUUUGCGGACAAUUUUUUGGGGACAAUUUAUCGGAAAAUUUUUUUUUUUUGUUGGAAGGAAUAUUUCUUUUUUCAUCAUGAUUUCCACUAAAGGAGUGUAAUUUAGUUAUUUUAUACCUAGAUAGGGUAUUUUUGAAAAUGGACACCAAGAGAGGGUAUUUGUAAAAAAAUGUAACCCAAAAAGGUUAUUUUAGCAAAUCCCCCUUUUUCCAAAUAAGCUAAAUAUUUUACUUAAAUUUUUAAUAAUUUAGGCUUAGAAUAUAUAAUUAUAACCUAUACAAAUGGUCUCAUGAAAAAAAAAAACAUAUAAAAGCAUAACUUUUAAUUUGAUUUUGGUCCAUCCAUUCAACCGAAGAAAUGAAGAGAUAACAAAUUUGUUGCACGAUAUCUGAAGAGCGAUUCUAAGUAAAAGUGAUGAUGGUUUUGAUUGUACUUCUCUUGUUAACCGGUUAACUAACAGCGUUUCGGCAUAUGUUGAUGUUGCCUAAUUUCAUAUAGUUUAACUUAGAAUUUGAAUUUUUAAUGAGUUUAGAUUGAAAUUUACCAAGUAGCAUAAUUUAGGUAUUGAAAAACCGUCAAUAAGUUAGUCGAGGUUCAUUUUGGCCAUUUUUCCAUCACUGCACAAUGAACGUUAACGUCCAAAUUGAUAUUAUUGACUUGACUUCCAAAGCACAAUAACUAUUUACUAACAGAAUGUUCCAACGUAUAUAACCCCUAAAAUGUGCCAAAAUAAGCAACUCGAACCCACUGGUAGGUUAGGCCUAUACUUAGCCGAAGCCUACAUGCUUUAAUUAAGACUUUAAUUAGUUGUUUUCUUAUUUAUUUAUUUUUUUUUCAACAAUAUUAAGAUUAACUCAAAAGAGCCAAUUGGGGGAACAAGUGUCAACAAACUUGACAAAAUGCAGGAGGGCACGAACUUUUCGUGCCAGAGAGUUCGCUUUUACAUUUUGAUUACAAGAUAUAAGAGAAAGAGAAAAAGUUGAGAAUUCUUCCCUAUCACUCCUAAUGUCGUCUAGGUAAACAGAGAAAGCUGGCCAUUCAGUAGGAGAAGACACCAUCUUCACCAGGUCGGAACAGUCCGUGAGAAAAAUCACAUCUCUGAAGUUGUGUCCUAUCAUGCAGCGCAUUGCCCAAACUAGAGCUUCGACUUCCGCAUGUAGAGGAGAGAGACUGCGGCGAGGAUUCGUUGCUCCCAUCCAUGUUGCUGAGUCUGGAGCAUGCUGGCAAUACCAUCCUAAUCCUACCGACAAGUCAAUUUCCUUCCAAGAUCCAUCAACAAAACAUCUAUACCCUGACGAGGUAUGAGGUAGAGAAACCGAGCGAAACCGAGGCGCGGAAGCCACUGGUAAGGUCGCUUCUGGAGCCUCUGAUUCCUCUAUCUGCGCUGCAUCCCAUGAUCCCGCCUUAGUCUGAGCAAUCCUCACUACCUCCAUCGGAUUUUCAUCCUUAUUAUCAAAAACCUUGGCAUUCCGUGCCUCCCAAUAUAUACCAUAAUAACCCAGGAAUAAAUCUAGCUUGAUCAUCCUUCAGGGAUAAUCGAAGGAUAUAAUCCAUAUUCGCAUACACCAACGUUGUCGGGAAAGAGAGAAGGCCCACUGGAAUAUUCCCCAACGCCCAUACUUGACGCGUCGGAGGGCAUUCAAAAAGAACAUGAUUAACCGUCUCAUCCUGCGCAGUGCAACGUGCACAUCUAGUAUCGCAGUUGAUACCCCGAUGAAAUAAAUUAGCCGUUACUGAAAUGUAGCCAGUCAGGACUUGCCACAUAAAUUCUCCAUACUUUUAUCCCUAUAAAAGAAAAAGAAAAAAAAAAAUUUUGAAUACUCAAGUUAAUAAGCAUCACUCAAGUUUUAUCAUCAACUCAUAAGUCUCUUCUUCACCAAUAUACUAUACACUAGUAUCUUCCAAAACACAAUGACCCACUGCACUUUUCAAUGGUUUCAUAGUUUUACAAAGCAAACAGCCAAAACAAGUAACUCGAACCCACUGCAGCGUUAGGACUUCAUUAUCAAAGGAGACGACCUCAAGUCAAUUAUAAAUAAAAGUUACCAAAUACAAUGAAUAUGCGACUCCUUCCGUCUAAUGUUUUAUAAUUUUGUGUUUGUUUUGCAAAAUUACUUUAAAGAAUAAAUGAUAUACUUAAAUCUAGAACAAAAUAUAAUUUGAAGUUGGGAGAAUCGUAAGAAGUAGCAAAAAAUUACUAAACACCAAUUUGAAUAUAAUUAGAAUUUAAUAUUAAUUAAUUAUUUUAAAAUCUUAAGCGAAUAAUACCAACAAAAAAAAAGAAUAAACAUGAUUCAUACAUAUCGUAUCUAAUAACACUAAAUUUUAAUGCAUAAUUUAUAUAUAUAAAAAGAACUGAAUAAUUUGGAUUUAGCAUAAAUAUAAAUUAAAAUUACAUGAUUAUACAAUAUAACCCUAAACAUCAUUACUUAAUCUAUUUUUUUGUUCCGUGUAACAUAACCCAAGCCAAUUGUGGGAAAUUAAAAACCAUAGUUAAUGAUCAUCACUUGAAUAUUUCUUUGUUAGUGUAUUUAUUAAAUAGUUGCAGAAGCUAAACAUAUUGUGAGUAAAUUUGAGAUUUAUUGCAUGAUUGAACACACGAUUAUCACUCACACACAAGUCCAAUACACAAUGACUUGGAAAUUACUCAACAGAAUGUUCAACGUAGGCACUUUUCUAGUGACUGGUUUCGUAAUUUCUUAAAGCAAACAGCCAAAAGACGAUUUUGCCCUGGGUUAGGCCUUCAUUAUCAAAGAGACGACCCCAACUCAAUCACUAAGCCUUCAUGAAGUCUAUUAAAGAGCCACAGAACUUGGAUAGCUUUGUCUAUCACCAAGAGAGAAAGAUAAUAGUGAGUGAGAUAGUAAGUGAGAAUGGCUUUUGCUGAGAAGAAUCCUUCUUAUAAUCUUCUUCGUUUCCUUUUGUUCAUAUCCAUAACUUUGAGCUGUUCUAUCACAGCUUCUGCGACUAUCUCAGAAGCAAAUGCUCUUCUCAAAUGGAAAUCCACUUUCACCAACCAGAGACCCUCAUCAAAGCUGUCUUCAUGGGUCAAUGAUGCAAACACCAAUACUAGCUUUCCAUGCACCACUUGGUAUGGUGUUUCCUGCAACUCACGAGGGAGUAUUGAAAAGUUAAAUCUCACUGACANNNNNNNNNNNNNNNNNNNNNNNNNNNNNNNNNNNNNNNNNNNNNNNNNNNNNNNNNNNNNNNNNNNNNNNNNNNNNNNNNNNNNNNNNNNNNNNNNNNNCUUACAUUGAUCUUAGCAUAAACCGUUUCUCUGGAACCAUCCCUCCUCAAUUCGGAAACAUCUCAAAACUCAUCUACUUUGACCUUUCCACAAACUACUUAACCGGGGAAAUCCCACCUGAGCUUGGCAAUUUGCGAAACCUAGAAACCCUUUAUCUUUAUAGAAACAAGUUAAACGGAUCGAUUCCAUUGGAGAUCGGUCUCUUAACCUCAGUUCGGGAUAUCGCCUUGUCUAACAAUUCCCUAUCUGGACCAAUACCCUCUUCCAUUGGAAAUCUAACCAACUUGGUAACCCUGAAACUCUUUCUCAAUUCUUUCUCGGGUCCACUACCUUCCGAGAUUGGGAACUUACCCAACCUUGGUAAUCUAAUCCUUAAUGAAAACAAUCUCUCUGGACCAUUACCCUCUUCCAUUGGAAAUCUAACCAACUUGGAACAACUGUACCUCUUUAACAAUUCUUUAUCGGGUCCACUUCCUUUCGAGAUUGGAAACUUACCCAACCUUGUUGAGCUAGACCUUAGUGGAAACAACCUUUCUGGACCAAUACCCUCUUCCAUUGGAAAUCUAACCAACUUGGUACAAUUGUACCUUUAUACCAAUUCUUUCUCGGGUCCACUUCCUUUCGAGAUUGGAAACUUACCCAAACUUGUUUACUUACAGCUUUGUAUAAACAACCUAUCUGGACCAGUGCCCUCUUCCAUUGGAAAUUUAACCAAGUUGGUUGAGCUAUACCUUAAUACAAAUAACUUGUUUGGACCAAUACCCUCUUCCAUUGGAAAUCUAACCAACUUGGUCAAGUUGUACCUCUUUAAAAAUUCUUUCUCGGGUCCACUUCCUUUUGAGAUUGGAAACUUACUCAACCUUGUUGAGCUAGACCUUAGUGAAAACAACCUUUCAGGACCAAUACCCUCUUCCAUUGGAAAUUUAAGAAACUUGGUAUGGCUCUCCCUCAGUACCAAUUCUUUCUCUGGUCAGAUUCCACUGGGAGUAUCAAACUCUUCAAAGCUAACUAUCUUGCAACUCAGCGAAAAUAACUUCACUGGUUUCUUGCCUGAAAACAUUUGCAAAGGUGGUAAGCUUCAGAAGAUCUCAUUAAUUGGCAAUCAUCUAGAAGGUUCCAUCCCAAAAAGCUUGAGAGAUUGCAACAGCUUGAUGAGAGCAAGAUUUUCGGGGAACCGAUUUAUUGGAGAUAUUUCUGAAUCUUUUGGGGUUUACCCACAUCUUGAUUUCAUUGAUCUCAGCCACAACAAAUUCCACGGUGAGAUUUCAAGCAAUUGGGAGAAGAGUCGAAAACUAGGUGCCUUGAUCAUGUCCAACAAUAACAUCAGCGGCUCUAUCCCACCAGAGAUUUGGAACAUGACACAACUAGUUGAGUUAGAUCUGUCUACCAACAACCUCACAGGUGAGCUUCCAGAAGCAAUUCAGAAUCUGAAAGGUUUGUCGAAGCUACUUCUCAAUGGGAAUAAGUUAUCUGGAAGAAUUCCUAUGGGUUUAAGUUUCUUAACUAAGCUCGAGUCUCUAGACUUAUCUUCAAACAGAUUCGAUGCUCAGAUCCCACAAACCUUUGACAACUUCACUAACCUCCACGAAAUGAAUCUGAGUAGAAACAAGUUUGAUGGACGUAUUCCCAGACUAACAAAGUUGGCUCAGCUAACCCAUCUUGAUCUCAGCCACAACCAGCUCGACGGAGAAAUCCCAUCACAACUUAGCUCUUUGCAGAGCCUCGAUAAGCUCGACCUCUCACACAACAAUCUUUUGGGUCUCAUUCCAACAAGUUUUGAGGGCAUGAAAGCGUUGACAUACAUAGAUAUAUCAAACAAUAAACUCGAGGGUCCGCUUCCAGAUAAUGCAGCAUUUCGAAAUGCAACAGCAGAUUCUUUGGAGGGAAACAAAGGCUUAUGCAGUAAUAUCCCAAGACAAAGGUUGAAAUCAUGCCAGAAGAAUGGAUUCAUGAAAUCAAAGAAGGAUGGCAGCCUUGUUGGGUGGAUACUAGUGCCAAUCCUAGGAGCACUCGUCAUUCUCUCUAUAUGCGCUGGGACAUUUAACUACUACCUUCGCAAACAAAAACAAAAAAAUGGAAACAACAACUCAGAUGCUGAAACUGGAGAGAGCUUGUCUAUAUUUUGCUAUGAUGGCAAAUUCAAAUACCAAGAUAUCAUAAACUCAACCGAAGAAUUUGAUCCUAAAUAUCUUAUCGGAAUGGGAGGAUACGGCAAAGUCUACAAAGCAAACCUCCCAAGCGCGAUUGUAGCUGUCAAGAAACUAAACCUUACAAUGGAGGAAGAGAUAUCAAAGCCGGUGGUGAAGCAAGAGUUCCUAAACGAAGUAAGAGCCUUAACAGAGAUCCGUCAUCGCAACGUGGUGAAGCUCUUCGGCUUCUGCUCUCACCGCCGCCACACUUUCCUGAUCUACGAGUACAUGGAAAAAGGAAGUUUAAACAAAUUGUUAGCUGACGACAAAGAAGCGAAACGACUCAAUUGGACCAAAAGGAUCAAUAUAGUGAAAGGUGUGGCGUAUGCGUUAUCGUAUAUGCACCAUGACAGAUCAACUCCGAUCGUCCACCGUGAUAUUAGCAGCGGCAACAUCCUUCUUGAUAAUGAUUAUAAACCUAAGAUCUCCGAUUUUGGCACAGCGAAGCUUCUCAAGAUGGAUUCCUCAAAUUGGUCCGCCGUCGCCGGAACCUAUGGCUAUGUCGCUCCAGG